ensembl:lncRNA
CUGUUGUGGAGCCUGAACCUGAGCCUGUGGACGAUGUGAUUGAAGCUGCUGUAGCAGAGGAUGCUUUUGCACCACCACCACCAGGUAUGUGAAUGUCUGCAAGUGACAAUAGUGCUGGAAAAAUGUCCAUCAAUGCAAGAAGUUGAUAAAUGCAGUGAAAUGAGAUUAGCCACGUUGAAAUGUCUAGUUUCACUUCAGUAUAGUGAGGAGUUUCUCAGUGCACGUAUUGUUCAAUAUGCAGACCUGUGUUAUCUAGCAGCUUUGGAUAUUUAAAAUGUCAGACAAAUCUUGCAGUGUUAUUGCAAAGUGGCGAGCACACGUGAAUACAAGUAAUGUACGUAGCAGCAUUAAAGGUAGUGAAUAUAUAAAAGUACUCGAAUAGUGGCGGUAAUUUACAAUAAUAAAUGAUAAAGAAUAAAUAUUGCACAUGGCAGUGAUAAUUGCACAAUAGUGAUGAAAGUCUGUUUUGGUGUGGUGGUCUACCCGGGGCCGUGGUGAUCAGCUUUGAGAACACUAGAAGUACUGAUAAGUCCAGAGGUGUCGGUGGCAGCGGACAACUUCGAACUAUAAAGUUGGUAACAUUGAUUUUUGGACGGUUUCACUCGCGCAUUGAAGAUGUCAGAUUGUCACCAGAAGGACUCAACCCAGUACAAGACGGAAUGGCCCCUUUGUAGGAUGGACCUUGCAAAACAUACUUGUGACCUUGUGUUUGUGAGAGAAUCUGGUCAACUCUCUGCGUCUCCCUUUUAGAGCCUGAACCUGAGGAAGCAGCUGAGCCCGAGCCCGAGGAGACUCCUGAGGUGAUUGAGGAGGAUCCAGAGGUGCUGGAGGAGGAGGAGGAGGAGGAGGAGGUGGCCCCUGCAGAGGAGGCUGAUCCAGUUGAAGAGAUUAUGGCAGACCAGCCUGAGGAGGAGGCGGCAGCAGCUGAAGAGGAAACUGCAACAGAGCAAGCUGUGGAGGAGGAGGAGGAGGAGGAGGAGGCUGCUGAAGAGGCUGUGGAGGAACUUGUAGCAGAGGUGGAGGCAGCAUUCCAGGACACAGAGGAGGAGGAGGAGGAGGCUGCUGAAGAGGUGGCUUCAGAUGUUGAGAUGAUAGAGGAAGACAUUGCUCCUGCAGAAGAAGCUUUUGAGGAGCCUGCUGAUGAGGAGGCAGCAGAAGCUGAUGAGGAGGCAGCGCCUUCAGAAGACGCUUUUGAAGAAGAGGCUGCUCCUUCAGAAGAGGCUGCUUUUGAAGAAGAGGCUGCUUUUGAAGAAGAGGCUGCUUUUGAAGAAAAGGCAGCUCCUUCAGAAGAAGCUGAGGAGAAGGCAGACGACACGGAGGAGACUCCAGAAGAAGUAGAGGAGGAACAAAGAGAACCAGUCACAGAGACGGAAGUAGCUGAUGAAGUAGAGGAGACGGCAGAAGAAGUUGCUGAGUUGGUUGAGACUGAGGAACAGAUUCAGGAUGAGCCCACAGAAACGUAGAGGCUGCCGCAGUUGUCGUGGUGACGGAGCAGGGACCCACUGACCUUGCAUUAGCACCAUCUGAGCGUGCUCAGAGCGAUGAUGCACCUCUCCACCUCCAGAGAAACAAUUGAGUCAUUGUGACAACACUCUCCCCCUCCCUCUGUUUUCACACCUUCCAUUAAAGCUUCCUUUUGUGUGUUAAUGUGAGAUAAUGGAUGGAUUGUAUACUAAUAUGAUACUCCCCUUUUUACCCUUUUUCCUUUUGAAUCACAAUUAUUUCUUUCUUUAAGUAGAACAUCCAUUCCCAUUUUUGUUCUGGGUGAUUUAGUGUGACUGUGGCCAGAAGGUCAGGCAUUGUGAACUCUGUGCUCUACCUGCAGCCAGUAUACCGGAGUCUGAUCUGCAAGAGCUGGAACAUUAAACCGGGCUGGAGCUUUGUUUUGAAGUCCUCUCAGUGAUGUAGUUUGGCUUCCUGGAGCUGAAUUAUGUUGCUAAGUAAACUGAGGUUCAUAGCUGAGCCAGUAUUUGGCAGUUCGAAGUCAGUCUCGGCGUUAGAAGAUCCAGGUUUAUACAGUGAGGUGACUUUGUAGGUUUAGAAGCUUCUCAGAUUGAAAAUGUAAACAAAACUCUUGCUCUGAACACUGCAAAAUGUUUCCCUCCUGCUGAUAAAAAAUCUCCUUGAUGGUGGUAACGAAACAUAUUUCAAAUUUAGUAAUGAAACUAAUACUGUAACGAUCUGCACCUCGAUCGCAGGGUAAGUUCAGAAUUUAAAUAACAUUCCAUUCAGCUGUGUUUAGUUCUGGUCACAGUGUUGUAGAUUCUAUGCAAAGCUGUUGUGAUGUCUGUCACCCACUCCCUCACCCCUCCUUUCCCAGCCAGUUUAUUUACCACUCGGUGUGUGUCGACUCCAGAAUGAGCCGUGUGCUAGCAUGUGAAUUCAGAGAAAUCUUGUGUGCAUUUGUGUGUGAGAGCAUGUUUGCGGAUGUAUUCCUUAUGUAUCCCAUAAUGUUCUUGUGUUGACGAGUCUCUUUUACUAAUCGGACCUUUCUGUGAGCCGUUAAUGUCAUGAAGUAGUUUUUGAGACCGUUCAACUUUUUUUUUCUUGUUUGUUCUUUGUGUCUGUGUUCUGUAGAAUCCUAGUUCUUUUAUCUUCAUAUUUUCAGAUGAGAGUAUAAAGACCAUCUAUCUAGACUAUCGAAUAAUUUCUAGUAUGAAGUUGUAACUUUAAACUUCAGCUCAUUAAGUUUAAACUGUGAUGUAAAUUAGGACAUCAUGGAUGGUGCAAAGCUGUCACACUGUGGUGUAAAGACUUUUUUUGUUUUUUAAUAAAUAAAUACACCAGCAUGAUGAACAUGGUUCUGGCCUAGCAGACUGAUAGACAGGAUAGUGACACUACAAUAUUUUAACCUUGUGUGAUCAAGAUUCCACUUUGAGUAUAAGAGAGCGCUCACAUAGGGUUAAAUGGAUCAGACGUCAUAUUUCCGUGGAAGUCGGCCAUAACUAGCUGACACCAGUUAAAUGAACCAAGAUCUUUGUUUUCAUCAUAAGUAGCGUGUGUUUUAAUUACUUAAAGGGAAACUUGAUGACGCGUUUCUUUAGUCACUGUUCCCUUUUGUGAUGUCAGAAUUUGUGUUUUUUAAACAUUGAUCCAUGGUAGCAGGGCCCCUGGCAUCUGCAGGCCCAGAAGAUCAGAGAGCAAAACAUUCUCUUAAACUUGAUUCCAUCGCAGAACUAAGUGCAAUUUGGAAAACUAAAUUGAGAGCGUUAUGCAUCUUAUUUUGAAGGCGAAGGCAUAACACUAAGAUAGUUUUUGGGACAAUGGGUGCAGCACUGUGGAACACAUUUCUGUUGUGAUAUUGACAAUAAACAAUAUGUAGAUCUGAAGUUUUAGGAUCAAUUACAACACUGUUAGUGGAAGAAGAUAUUGUAAAACAUACCUUUUUUUUUCCUCUUUAAUUUGGUGUCACUGUCCCACUUGUUUCCAGUCCUGACUUAAUGUAACCACCAGAUUGUUUCUAUGGUGUGCAGUAGUUGUUUUUGUAGGAUGUCUUGUCCACUAGCUGGUUUUUUUCUACUUCCUGACACUUUGUAAGUCGAUGUGAACUGUAAAAGCUUUUUAACAUUGAAGAUUACAAUCUUUACCAAGAGAGAGCUUCUAGAUUUUUAAAAGGAACAUUUUUAAAAAGGACAAAACAUUUUCUGAAAAUGCUUUAAAAGCUUUUUACAAAGCCAUAAGCUAUUCGUGACAGGCAGGUUUAAGGGGCCGUGCUACUUCGAUACAAUAAAACCGCAAAGCAACCACACUACAGCAACCUGCUGAAACAGAUUUCUAUCUUUUUCAUCAUUGAUCUCUGAUCAGAAGUCCUGAACAUGCUGGAAAGGGUUGUGAUGACAUGGACAGCUUAGUCCCAGACAAAGGAGGUGGCAGUUGUCUGCUGGAAUCGCUAUAAUAGCUGUGCAGUAGUACUAAGCUCCCCAGUAUUAAAACUGCCUAUGUGUUGUCUGCAGAUCUAAUACUGUCCUGUAGACGCUGACGAUGGUGAUUAAAUUAUUGUGAAGUAAUGAUGGAUUGUGGAGAUUUGAAGUGUCAGUUUUCUGUAAAUGAUCUGUUGCUGCAAUAAAAGGUUUGGGACAACAUGGCAAGGACUCCAUUGUUUUUGAUUUAUACAUUUUGUGUAUGACUCCCAUACCAGUCAAGCAUGUAAUACCCUGUGUGACAAAGG